CUUUCUCAUUAACUCCAAGCGGUGUACUCUGCGAAUCAAAAAACGCUCUCCCUUUGUAAACACUUUUCAGAGAAAUCUCCUUCCCUUUCUUUUCUACCAUGUUCUCUCCCUUUGGUUGGACCAACUGCCUAGAGUGCUUCCCUUUUGGUCCUCUCUCAACGGCUUUUGAAGUGUCUGUUGUGUGAGCUGAAGAUCUUGGCUAAACUCAAAAUCGAUGAGGUCCGGUAAUGGCGGACGGUGAAACUCGGUCGGAGGACGGAUUCCAUGGUAUGCCUUCAGUAUAGAGACAUGAACGAUGGGAUGGAUGCGCGAUGAGGAUGGUAGAUCCAAGAGUUAGUUGACAGUUCCUGUACGUUUAAUAAUGCGAAAAGGGCCAAAAUAUCUUUGGGCAAGUUUUUGAGACUCUCGACGAUGAACCGUACUCUGUCGAUAUGGUUGUAGUUUCAAAAGGACCCAGUCUCCUUCCACAAAGUAUUGCGUCAAGUGUGACAUCUGAAACUGAGUUAUUGACAUAGUCUAAGAUGUUUGGGGGAUCACGACCAUAGAGAGCUUUGAAAGGAUCCAUCGGGAUUGAUGAGUGAAAGAUUGUGUUAUACCAGUAUUCUGCUAAAUGGAGAAACUUAUGCCAAGUGCGAGGAUGAUCUCCAGCAAAACAGCGUAAGCUCGUACCUUGAUUCUUAAAGAACUCUUUCCAAAACUUGCUCAAGAACAAGGGAUCCCGGUCAGAGACUAUUGUUUUAGGGCUUCCUUGAAGACGAAAGAUCUCUACUGUGAACCGGGUUGCCAGAUCUUUUGCGGAGAAAUGGGUGGGCAGAGGAAUAAAGUGCACAAAUUUUGUCAAUCGAUCACAAAUUACCCAAAUGGCCGUGUGACCGCAUGAACUAGGUAAGUGUGUAAUAAAAUCCAUAGUGAUUUCUUCCCAAACCUGUUUCGGAAUCGGUAACGGUUGCAGCAAGCCUUUUUUUUCUAUGUAUCAUAUUUAUUAUGCUGGCAUAUGGAACACUGUUUAACCAUGUUUUUCACUUCGAGGUACACCCCUGGCCAACAAAAAGAAGCUCUCAAUCUAGCUAAGGUAGCCUUGACGCCGGAAUGGUCUGUUAUUGGUGUCUGAUGAUACUCACGUAAAACCUGUUGGCGCAUGUCAGCAAUUUCAGGUGGUCAGCAAGUCUGGAAGAGGUGAUGAGAGAACUAACAGUGUUGCUUUUUCUGGUUCAAACUUUCUGCUUAAAGCAUCCGCAACAAGGUUCGACUUUCAAGAUUCUGUGAUGGCGAACAUUUCCCUAACAUACACAUGAGAAGCUUGCAUACGUGGACACAUCUUUUUACUGAAGAAAGCAAUGGGGUGACCUGCUUGAGACAGAACAACACUGAUGGCCACACCAGAAGCAUCCGUUUCAAUUGUAAAUUCUUUUGUAAAAUCUGGUAGAGCUAGGACCGGCAUGUCGGUCAUCUUUUGUUUCAAUUCUGUAAAGGCCUUAGCAGCCUCUGUACUCCAGAUAAAUUUAGUGGAACGCAACAAAUUGGUGAGGGGAGCGGCGAGAGUGGCGUAACCUUUAACAAAUCUGAGAUAAAAACCGGUAAGGCCUAAGUAACCUCGGAGCGUCGAGAGAGAACGUGGUGCUGGCCAAUCCAAAAUGGCCUUCACUUUUUCAAAAUCAGGUGCGACUCCUCCUUUUGAAAUAAUGUGUCCCAAAUAUUCAAUCUGGCUUGCUGCAAAAACACAUUUAGACAGCUUCACAAAAAAUGCCUGCUUUGUUAACAACUCAAAAACAACCUGCAAAUGUGUUAGGUGAUCCUCAAAAUUAGCACUGUAAAUUAAAAUAUCAUCAAAGAAAACAAGUACAAAUUUUCUUAGGAAGGGACGAAGUAAGUCGUUCAUAGCGGAUUGAAAAGUAGAUGGCCCAUUAGUGAGGCCAAAAGGCAUUACAAGGAAUUCGUAAUGCCCAUCAAAAGUCCAAAAAGCUGUUUUAUACGUGUCUUUUGAUGCUAAUCUGAUCUGAUGGUAUCCUGAACACAAGUCUAUCUUGGAAAAAAUGGUAGCUGAACUAAGUUCAUCUAAUAGUUCAUCAAUAGUGGGUAUGGGAAAUCUGUCCUUUACUGUCACCGCGUUCAAUGCUCUAUAAUCAACACAAAAUCUCCAAGUCCCGUCUUUCUUUUUGACUAAUAAAACAGGGGAUGAGAAAUGGCUAGUGCUAGGUGUGAUGGUUCCUUCUUGUAGCAUUUCUUGUAUCAUUUUGGUCAUGGUUUCUUUUUUUGAAUGGGGGUAGCGGUAUGGUUUCACAUUGAUAGGUGGUGUGUUUGGCAAAAGGUUUAUAUGGUGGUCAUGUGGUCUAGAUGGGGGAAUGCCUUUUGGCUGUUGAAAAAUAGAUUGAAAUUUGGUCAAAAGUUUUGUAAGUGGGGUUGGUAAGAUGGUUUGGUUAGGUGGGGCCGAAACUGGAAGUUUAGUUGUGUGAGGAGGUUGUUGGAUGGGUUCCAUGAGUAAUAAGUGAAAAGAGGCAAUGGCAUCAGUGUGAAUAAGUUGUCGUAGUUGGU